rnacentral:rRNA from 1 species
UGACGAGGCUAUAACUGACGCUAAAGCUCGAAGGUGCGGGUAUCGAACAGGAUUAGAUACCCUGGUAGUCCGCACGGUAAACGAUGGAUGCCCGCUGUUGGCGAUACAAUGUCAGCGGCCAAGCGAAAGCGUUAAGCAUCCCACCUGGGGAGUACGCCGGCAACGGUGAAACUCAAAGGAAUUGACGGGGGCCCGCACAAGCGGAGGAACAUGUGGUUUAAUUCGAUGAUACGCGAGGAACCUUACCCGGGCUUGAACUGCAGGGGAACGAUCCAGAGAUGGUGAGGUCAGCAAUGACCCCUGUGGAGGUGCUGCAUGGUUGUCGUCAGCUCGUGCCGUGAGGUGUCGGCUUAAGUGCCAUAACGAGCGCAACCCUUUUCAUCAGUUGCCAUCAGGUAGUGCUGGGCACUCUGGUGAUACUGCCACCGUAAGGUGUGAGGAAGGUGGGGAUGACGUCAAAUCAGCACGGCCCUUACGUCCGGGGCUACACACGUGUUACAAUGGGUGGUACAGAGAGUCGGUCGCUGGCAAUAGCGAUCCAAUCCUUAAAGCCAUCCUCAGUUCGGAUUGGGGUCUGCAACCCGACCCCAUGAAGCUGGAU